rnacentral:rRNA from 1 species
UACGGGGGGGGCAAGCGUUGUUCGGAAUUACUGGGCGUAAAGGGCUCGUAGGCGGCCAACUAAGUCAGACGUGAAAUCCCUCGGCUUAACCGGGGAACUGCGUCUGAUACUGGAUGGCUUGAGAUUGGGAGAGGGAUGCGGAAUUCCAGGUGUAGCGGUGAAAUGCGUAGAUAUCUGGAGGAACACCGGUGGCGAAGGCGGCAUCCUGGACCGGCAUUGACGCUGAGGAGCGAAAGCCAGGGGAGCAAACGGG